UAAUUUUUAAAUGUAUGCUUACUAUAAUAACUCUAUGCUUUGUUAUUUCUUUUCCGUAACCGGAUGACAAAAUUAAUUAAAUUUUUCUCACAUUAUAGUUUAUAUCAUGACAAAUUAGAUAGGUAUCAUGACAGUUGUACUAGUUUUGCGCAGUAGAUAUGCAUCUCCUUCACCUCCGGCCUAUAUCGUAGUUCUCCACUUCUCAUUGGUUGAUUUUGUUCUUUGUUAUAUAUGUGUGUAUGUAUGAUUGAUAGCCAAUAAGAAAUGGAGAUAAAGGCAAAGUAAAGAGCGAAGGAUGCAUAUCAAAAUACUGUGAUGAUACCUAUCUAAUUUGUCAUGGUUUAUAUAAAGUAAAGUACAUUUUCAGAUAUUCCAAAUAUAAAGAUAAAACACAUUUUAUAAAACAAAAUAUUAGUAACAAAAUUAUUUUCUAAUUUAAAUAAUAAAACCAAAAAGAAAUUUAAAAAAGUGUGUGUAUUACAAACUUACAACUUAGUAUGAAACAACUCUAUAGCUGAUCUUCAUAUUGUAAUAAAAAAAAGAGCAAAUGCCUACAUUCAAACUCUACUUAUAUUUCAAAAUUAAACUCUCGAUUAUACACUUUGAGAAUUAUCCGUGGUCUUCUGAGGAUCCAUCUACAUUCAACAGUACUAAAAAUAGUAUUUAAGUACAAAAUAUGGAUUUUUGAAAAAAUAAAUGUAAGUUAUAUAUAUUAAAAUAUAAUUUUAAAUAAAAA